GACGAACGCUGGCGGCGUGCUUAAUACAUGCAAGUCGAACGGAAAGGCCCUGCUUUUGUGGGGUGCUCGAGUGGCGAACGGGUGAGUAACACGUGAGUAACCUGCCCUUGACUUUGGGAUAACUUCAGGAAACUGGGGCUAAUACCGGAUAGGAGCUCCUGCUGCAUGGUGGGGGUUGGAAAGUUUCGGCGGUUGGGGAUGGACUCGCGGCUUAUCAGCUUGUUGGUGGGGUAGUGGCUUACCAAGGCUUUGACGGGUAGCCGGCCUGAGAGGGUGACCGGCCACAUUGGGACUGAGAUACGGCCCAGACUCCUACGGGAGGCAGCAGUGGGGAAUAGUGCACAAUGGGCGGAAGCCUGAUGCAGCAACGCCGCGUGCGGGAUGACGGCCUUCGGGUUGUAAACCGCUUUCGCCUGUGACGAAGCGUGAGUGACGGUAAUGGGUAAAGAAGCACCGGCUAACUACGUG
rnacentral:rRNA from 1 species